rnacentral:lncRNA from 1 species
AGACGCCCGCCCUGCCUGAGGUUUCCUUGUGUCCCGGACUCUGCUGUUUUUCUUUUGUCUAAUUUGUCCAUUUCUGCACUUGGCAAUUUCUUGGGAACUAACUUGAAUCUACUUCUCCCUUGUCUGUAAUAGUCUCUUCUCUCUCUCUCUCUCUCUCUCUCUCUCUCUCUCUCUCUCACACACACACACACACACACACACACACACACACACACACACACACACACACACUGUCUUCUUUUCUUCCUCUUAGCCAUCUCUGGGUCUUCCAGCUGGCUCUGGCCUGUCCCUGGCACCUCCCAGCUACCUACUGAUCCGACGGCGCCCAAGCCGGUAUAGGCUGGUAAGACUGCUCCCGGGAAGGAGGCUCCGGGAUGAUCCACGCGGCCGCGCCCCGCACCCACCGGCGGCGCCACGGAGACGCAGAGUUCUCCAGAUCCUCCAAGCGCCGUCGGCGCCACCACUCCAGACACUGUUCACGAGGCCUCAAAGCGUGGAGGCGGUGGCCCGGGGCCGACUCUCGGGUGACCGCCAAUUUGGUCCCAAGACACUUCAGGAUCUCGCAACGGAUGGAGGACAGCGCGGUUCCAAGAGAGGGCGCCAAAGGCGACGCGCUGGCGGCCAGCUCCAAGCCAACCAGGCCCAUUGCGUCCGUCUGCAGGAACCUGUCCCUUCACCCUGCUUUGGACACUGAGCUUCGGAGGAUCUGGCUGCGAGCUGAUUCAACGCCAGGGCGCCGCCUAGAGGUCGGUCGCGUCCUCGGUCUCGCUCACCGACCACAGAGCUGCUUGUCCAAGCCACAGUGUCAGACUUAAACAAAACAAAACAAAAUUCCUGCUUGGAUCAGAGACUUGGCUUCUGGGACCGUUGACUUAUCAGAAACUUGCCUCCUCUCUGCUUCAUAACGAACCCCAGGAAGAGAGAGGGACCAGGGAUCUCAAAGAAAUAUUUGUCCUUGUGGCACCGACUAGGUGGAAGAAAAGUCUCAACAUGACAAGAGGGGAUAUAAACUGUUUGAAGUUCAUCAGCACGGUGAAGUUUUAUUGUAUUUCCGGUCCCUAAAAGAGAAGCCGGCAGCCAGGCAGACUCCCUCCUUAUCUCCGAGUUUCCACGCCAGGGACACACACGUGGCCAAGCGGACACUUGCCUUCGGGAGCAGGGAGGGAGAGAGCCCGCUCCGAUCGACUCUCCCUCACCGGCUCAGGGCACAAGCCAGGAGCCCAAAGGUUCUUCCUCUGAUCCUUUCUCUAAACUAAACCAGUGAAGAAUCUGCAGCAAAGCCCGGGAGAGGAAUGGGAACCAGGAGGGCAGCGGGCAGAGCCCAGCGCCUAUACAGCUUGGGUCUUAAAAACAGCCUUGCUCCAUCACGUUUCCAUAAAUAAAAGAGCCCCGGCCCAG